rnacentral:rRNA from 1 species
GACGAACGCUGGCGGCGCGCUUAACACAUGCAAGUCGAGCGGUAAGGCCCUUUCGGGGGUACGACGAGCGGCGAACGGGUGAGUAACACGUGGGUGACCUGCCCUCAGCUCUGGGAUAAGCCUGGGAAACCGGGUCUAAUACUGGAUAUGACUCCAUGACGCAUGUUGUGGGGUGGAAAGCCUUGUGCGGCUGAGGAUGGGCCCGCGGCCUAUCAGCUUGUUGGUGGGGUGANGGCCUACCAAGGCGACGACGGGUAGCCGGCCUGAGAGGGCGACCGGCCACACUGGGACUGAGACACGGCCCAGACUCCUACGGGAGGCAGCAGUGGGGAAUCUUGCGCAAUGGGCGAAAGCCUGACGCAGCGACGCCGCGUGAGGGAUGAC